CAACAAGUGAUUCCCGUUAUCUUUUCUCCUAAAAAGUAUGUGACAUUUUAUGGCAGAAUAAGUCGACAAAACCUCCGCAAAAGAGUUGAGAUGGCUGCCUAUCCUCUUGAGUCUGUUGUUUGGCUGAGAUAGUAUAAUUUGGAUAAAUUACAGUCAAGCUUAGCAUCUCCAAAGACAUCUACCCUGUCAACAAAAGAUGUCCAAGACCAUGUACCAGCGGAUGAGAAAGCUGUACUCUCCAGUAUAAGGCUUAGCAUCUGCAAAGACAUGUACCCGUCAACAAGUAGAUGUCCAAGACAAACCUCUGAUAAAGG